AAUGUGUAAAAAUGUAUGAGAGAUACAUUUGUAUCAAUGGUUGAGAUCUUUCCUGAUCAGCAUCUAACGGUUGUCUCUCAAACACUCCUCUCAUUUCUACCCAAGUGUAUCAAACACUCCUCUUCUUCUGUGUCUCACAGGUCUGCCUCCCACCUAACCCUUCUCCCUCUCUUCUUCUUGAUUUCAAAUGGGAGUCGAGUGUUCUGUAAAUCCUUCUUGGUACCUUCACUCGCUUCGACUGAACUCAUUCGAUUCAAGUUUUUCAGAGCUCGAACUUCCUCAUCCAACCCUUCUAGGGUUUUUCGAAUGGCCACCGAGCCUCCUUCUUCAUCCUCAUCAUCACCACCACACUCCGAUUCAUCCUCGGUCCCCGCUUCUCCUGCCAUCGAUUUUCUCUCUCUCUGUCACCGUCUCAAGACGACGAAGAGAAGGGAUGUUGAGAAUCCAGAGUCCAUAGCCGAUCGUAUGUAUCGAAUGGGGUUGAUGGCUCUCAAAUAGGAAUGCUGAUUGAUCUACAUCAAGUUGGAAUGAUGCUAAGGAAUUCGGAGAAUCGGAAGUCGGCAUCAGGUUCUCCAGAGAAGGAAGACAGGUACUACACCACGAGAGGGUCAGUGGCUGGGUUGGGGUUGGGGUUGGAUGGAAAGGCCGGUGGUUCGAUUAUGAUGGAUGGAGGAGAGAGAGUUGGUGGUAGUGGCGGGGAUGAAAACAGAGGAGAGAUUGUUUGGCCGAAGCUGUAUAUAAGUUUGUCGAGUAAAGAGAAAGAGGAGGAUUUUAUGGCCAUCAAAGGCUGUAAACCUCCUCAGAG